rnacentral:tRNA from 1 species
GGGCCGGUGACGCAACCGGGUAGCGUAGCGGCCUUUUAAGCCGCAAGUUGCAGGUUCGAGUCCUGUCCGGCCCACCU